rnacentral:rRNA from 1 species
UACGUAGGUGGCGAGCGUUAUCCGGAAUUAUUGGGCGUAAAGAGCGCGCAGGUGGUUGAUUAAGUCUGAUGUGAAAGCCCACGGCUUAACCGUGGAGGGUCAUUGGAAACUGGUCAACUUGAGUGCAGAAGAGGGAAGUGGAAUUCCAUGUGUAGCGGUGAAAUGCGUAGAGAUAUGGAGGAACACCAGUGGCGAAGGCGGCUUCCUGGUCUGUAACUGACACUGAGGCGCGAAAGCGUGGGGAGCAAACAGGAUUAGAUA